CCCGCGUGACCUCACCGCUGCGGGGCGAUGGAGCGAAAAGUAGGAAGGAGGAAAGAGAUGGUCCAGCCGUGGGGGGCGGGGGAGGCUUCUGGCCAGACCAUUACUCCGCCCCGUCCCCACCCUCAAGGAGAGCCGUUAAAGCCUGGGGCUGCGGGAGAAGUUGAGGGAUUUUCGUUUAUAACAACUCUACCAUUUUGCAGGUGAGGAAACUGAAGUCCCGGGAGAGACAGUGGCAAGGUCAAGUAGCAAAGUGCACUCAGCCCUCCCAGCAAGGAGUCUGCCACUCGCGCUUGAAGGACGUGUUUGAAGAGCUGCUUUCCCAGUGGGAUGCUGCCUUAAAGUCUUGAUUCCCUGGCACUCUUUCCUAUUACUACAUUUUAUCGGUGCUGUUUGUGUUAUGCAACGGUAGCAUCGUGUCUCCGGAAGAUAAAAAAGGUCUCGAUACAAACAUCCAUAACCUUCCACCCACUCCGUCAGGAACAACCCAAUCAAAAUAAAGUCAUGAGAAUUUA
ensembl:lncRNA ILRUN-AS1 ILRUN antisense RNA 1